UAACCUGCCCAAGAGAUCGGGAUAACACCUGGAAACAGAUGCUAAUACCGGAUAACAACAGAUGAUGCCUAUCAACUGUUUAAAAGAUGGUUCUGCUAUCACUCUUGGAUGGACCUGCGGUGCAUUAGCUAGUUGGUAGGGUAACGGCCUACCAAGGCGAUGAUGCAUAGCCGAGUUGAGAGACUGAUCGGCCACAUUGGGACUGAGACACGGCCCAAACUCCUACGGGAGGCAGCAGCGG
rnacentral:rRNA from 1 species